GCCUGAUCAAGGCUCACCACAGCCUCAACCUUCUUGGCUCAAGUGAUCAUCUCACCUCAGCCUCCAGAGUAGCUGAAGUACAGGUACAUGCCACUACACUCAGCUAAUUUUUGUGGUUUUUUUCUUUUUUUGUAGAGACAGGGUCUCACUAUAUUGCCCAGGCUGGUCUUGAACUCCUGGGCUCAAGUGAUCCUCCCGCCUCAGCCUCCCAAAGUGCUAGGAUUCCAUAUGUGAGCCACUACCCCUAGCCAGGUUAAUUUAUUUUUGAAGAAAGAAUAAUAUUUUUAUAAACUGAGUAUAUCCUUAGUUCAGUAUUUGUGAAGGCUAUGGCAGUCUACAGUGGUGUACAGUAAUGUCUUAGACCUUCACAUUCACUCCCCACUCACUCACUGACUCAUCCAGAGCAACUUCUACUCCUGCAAGCUCCAUUCAUGCUAUGAGUUCCUUAACAGCAGGUUUGUCAGGAGUUCCUAAGACUAUCCCCAGGUUCAGUGAUUCACUUGAAGGACUCACAGGACUCACCAUUGAGUUGCAGCACAGGGAAAAGACACACGGAGAGAAGUUUGGAAGAAACCAGCACUUCUCCCGAUGUUACAGCUCCUCUACAAUCAACAGCGGAAUGAGAGGGGAGAAAAAAAUCAUACCAGUCUCAUGAGAGCUAAAAUGACCCUCCCAAGAUGAAAGAGCAAGCUACAAGAGAACCAAGGUCUCCAGACUCUAGCGUCUCCCCAGUGAUAGCACAGCCAUUAUUCCUCAGGAAAAGAAAACCAUGAACAGCAUCUGGAGAGGUCAAUCACUUCCACAACCACCCUGCCUGUCCCUUCUGAGAAGGGACCAAAUCCUACCAUUCCAGAGCAAGGCUGCUCAUGUGUAAUCUCCGGAGUCCUUUCUGGAUCUUCUCUAUGACUUAAUCCAAACAGUGAGACAUCUGUUUGAAUUCCACCAUUCCACAACAUACCUAACCCUCAACAGGACUCGCUUUUAGAAAAUGGUUUCAAAGUAACUUAAGUUCCACACUGUGAAUCUACAUUUUCUGGCUAUUUAUAAAUUUGUUGCCAGUUGCCUCAAGUUUACUUUAAUCAACUGUAAUAGACCAAAAUAUAUAAGUUAAGCCUACGACAUCCUCCCCUAUGAUGCAGUCAAUGUUAGGGGUAUUUUAGUGAGCUCAGUUUUUUUUUUUUAAGAGAUGGGUCUCACUAUGUUGCCCAGGCUGGUCUCGAACUCCUGGUCUUAUGGGAUCCUCCCACCUUGGCCUCCCAAAGUGCUGGGAUUACAGGCGUGAGCCACCGCACCCCGCCAGUGAGCACAGCUGACAACAAGCUGCUUUUCAGGUCCGUGAUAAAAGGAAAAUAUUAUAAGAUUAAUGAGAUUUACUAAUUAGAUAUACUCGCUGAUAAUGUGUUUUAUUUUAAUGAAAAGCCAUGAGAUUUAUAAGUACCCUCCUCUGCAUCAAAACAAUAAACCUGAAAUCCUAAAG
rnacentral:lncRNA from 1 species